UACGGAGGAUGCAAGCGUUAUCCGGAAUGAUUGGGCGUAAAGCGUCCGCAGGUGGCUAUGUAAGUCUGCUGUUAAAGAGUGAGGCUCAACCUCAUAAAAGCAGUGGAAACUACAUGGCUAGAGUGCGUUCGGGGCAGAGGGAAUUCCUGGUGUGGCGGUGAAAUGCGUAGAUAUCAGGAAGAACACCGGUGGCGAAAGCGCUCUGCUAGGCCGCAACUGACACUGAGGGACGAAAGCUAGGGGAGCGAAUGGG
rnacentral:rRNA from 1 species